UACGUAGGGCGCAAGCGUUGUCCGGAAUUAUUGGGCGUAAAGAGCUCGUAGGUGGUUUGUUACGUCUGCUGUGAAAACCUAGGGCUUAACCCUGGGCCUGCAGUGGAUACGGGCAGACUAGAGGUAGGUAGGGGAGAAUGGAAUUCCCGGUGUAGUGGUGAAAUGCGUAGAUAUCAGGAGGAACACCGGUGGCGAAGGCGGUUCUCUGGGCAUGUUCUGACGCUGAGGAGCGAAAGUGUGGGGAGCAAACAGG
rnacentral:rRNA from 1 species